AAAGCCUGAUGGAGCAAUGUCGCGUGGAGGUAGAAGGCCCACGGGUCGUGAACCUCUUUUUCCUGAGAAGAAGCAAUGAUGGUAUCUGGGGAAUAAGCAUCGGCUAACUCUGUUCCAACAGCCACGGUAAUACAGAGGAUGCAAGCGUUAUCCGGAAUGAUUGGGCGUAAAGCGUCUGUAGAUGGCUUUUUAAGUCUGCCAUCAAAUCCCAGGGAUCAACCCUGGAUAGGCGGUGAAAACUACCAAGCUGGAGUACGGUAGGGGCAGAGGGAAUUUCCGGUGGAGCGGUGAAAUGCGUAGAGAUCGGAAAGAACACCAACGGCGAAAACACUCUGCUGGGCUGACACUGACACUGAGAGAUGAAAGCUAGGGGAGCGAAUGGCAUUAGAUACCCUAGUAGUCCUAUCCGUAAAUGAUCGAUACUAGGCGUUGUGCGUAUCGACCCGUGCAGUGCUAUAGCUAACGCGUUAAGUAUCCCACCU
rnacentral:rRNA from 1 species